rnacentral:rRNA from 1 species
UACGUAGGGUGCAAGCGUUGUCCGGAAUUAUUGGGCGUAAAGAGCUCGUAGGCGGUUUGUCGCGUCUGCUGUGAAAACCUAAGGCUCAACCUUGGGCUUGCAGUGGGUACGGGCAGACUAGAGUGUGGUAGGGGAGACUGGAAUUCCUGGUGUAGCGGUGAAAUGCGCAGAUAUCAGGAGGAACACCGAUGGCGAAGGCAGGUCUCUGGGCCACUACUGACGCUGGAGAAAGCGAAAGCGUGGGGAGCGAACAGG